UCUCCAGGCAUUCUUACCUGACGACCACUCCUCCUGACAGAGAAAGUGCUCACAGCCUGUCCUUGUGUAACUCCUGAGCAUACCUCUACCAUCAAGAAUUGCCAAGAAAAAGAAACAGCAACAAUAGCAGUAACAAUUUGAAGCUGAAGAAGUUGUACUAUACAGCAUCUCUGCUAUAAGUAGUGAUCAUCACCCGUGUAAGGAAGGACUUUUCAGGGUUACCUUGUAGCUGCUGAAAGGGAAGUGGAUAGUUACUAUUGCCUGGAGAUGAG
rnacentral:lncRNA from 1 species